UACGGAGGAUGCGAGCGUUAUCCGGAUUUAUUGGGUUUAAAGGGUGCGCAGGCGGCACGGCAAGCCGGCGGUCAAAUCGCGGGGCUCAACCCCGCUCAGCCGUCGGAACUGCCGGGCUAGAGUGGGCGAGAAGUGCGCGGAAUGCGUGGUGUAGCGGUGAAAUGCAUAGAUAUCACGCAGAACUCCGAUUGCGAAGGCAGCGCACCGGCGCCCUACUGACGCUCAGGCACGAAAGCGUGGGUAUCGAACAGG
rnacentral:rRNA from 1 species